rnacentral:rRNA from 1 species
AGUGAACGCUGGCGGUAGGCCUAACACAUGCAAGUCGAACGGCAGCACAGUAAGAGCUUGCUCUUACGGGUGGCGAGUGGCGGACGGGUGAGGAAUACAUCGGAAUCUACUUUUUCGUGGGGGAUAACGUAGGGAAACUUACGCUAAUACCGCAUACGACCUACGGGUGAAAGCAGGGGAUCUUCGGACCUUGCGCGAUUGAAUGAGCCGAUGUCGGAUUAGCUAGUUGGCGGGGUAAAGGCCCACCAAGGCGACGAUCCGUAGCCGGUCUGAGAGGAUGAUCAGCCACACUGGAACUGAGACACGGUCCAGACUCCUACGGGAGGCAGCAGUGGGGAAUAUUGGACAAAGGGCGCAAGCCUGAUCCAGCCAUACCGCGUGGGUGAAGAAGGCCUUCGGGUUGUAAAGCCCUUUUGUUGGGAAAGAAAAGCAGCAGGUUAAUACCCCGCUGUUCUGACGGUACCCAAAGAAUAAGCACCGGCUAACUUCGCG